UACAGAGGUCUCAAGCGUUUGUUCGGAUUCAUUGGGCGUAAAGGGUGCGUAGGCGGCGCGGUAAGUCGGGUGUGAAAAUCUCGGAGCUUAACUCCGAAAACUGCAUUCGAUACUGCCGUGCUUGAGGACUGGAGAGGAGACUGGAAUUUACGGUGUAGCGGUGAAAUGCGUAGAUAUCGUAAGGAAGACCAGUGGCGAAGGCGGGUCUCUGGACAGUUCCUGACGCUGAGGCACGAAGGUCAGGGGGAGCAAACGGG
rnacentral:rRNA from 1 species